GCUGCAGGGGUACAGAAAGAGAGAGAAAAGGAUCCGGGGUGAGGAGAGGCGACCCGGAGCGGAGCGCCGACCACGGCUCUCUCCCCACUCUCCGAGAGCGACCCGGCCGAGGCCACGGGCCGUGUCAGCCCCAGCCCGCCACCCGCGCGGGCCCCGGCGUCUCGCGUGCGCCUGGCUCCCCGGGCUACGCCUCCUGCGCCCAGCCGGCCGCGGCCCCCUCCCUCAGACAACCCGACGCCGCUCGCCAAAGUGUUUUGGUGCUGGUGGAGCGAACUCACGCCCCUAGCCAGCCUUCUCAGCGACUCGUGCCAAGAGUACUCGUUCACCAGCACCGCCCCUUUAAGAGAUUUCAACUGCAGACAUUUUUUAACUUUUUAAAGACAGGAUUCAGGAAUCUGAAAAGGGCUGGAAUAUAUGACCUUCAGCUGAGGUUCCCUGAGGAGAUUCUUUCAAACCAAGCAACAAAGAAAUACAGAGGUUAGGUUGGGUUAAACUGGG